rnacentral:rRNA from 1 species
AGACGAAGGGGGCAAGCGUUGUUCGGAAUUACUGGGCGUAAAGCGAGUGUAGGUGGUUGUCAUAGUCAGGUGUGAAAGCCUUGAGCUCAACUCAAGAAAUGCACUUGAUACUGGGCGACUAGAGGACCGGAGAGGAUAGUGGAAUUCCCAGUGUAGUGGUGAAAUACGUAGAGAUUGGGAAGAACACCAGUGGCGAAGGCGGCUAUCUGGACGGUUUCUGACACUAAGACUCGAAAGCGUGGGGAGC